CAUAAAUAAAUAAAAAAAAAAAAAAAAAAAUACAUAAAAAAGACAAUAAAAUAAAAAAUAGUAAUACUCAAGUAUUAUAUGAUUUUGUUAAAAAAGAAGCAGAUGCUGUUCCUGCUCAAGAAAUUUGGUGAAAAAUUAGUAGACGCUGUACCUACUACAUAUUAAUACAGAUAGAAAUAAUUGACAAAAGAUCGGGUUAAUAUAUUGAGCGUUUCAUGUUGAAAGUUGCGGGCUUUAAGAAGCGUGACUGGGACCAUAUGGAACGCCUUCAUUAGCGCGUGAGUGUUAGUUUAAAAUAAAUGAGUAGCUUAAAAGUGUGAACGGGGGUCCUUAGGUAUAAUCGAAGGCGGACCGGGAGCGGUAUCUCGCGGGUGGGCAGCGACCCAAUGCUUGUGUACAUGGCUUAUUCGUGUCUUGUCUGGGGUAAAAGAAAACAAAUAAAAAGGGGUAUACAUAGCAGUAUAAACUAUACGUUUGAGGGAAGUGAGUCUGUGGCCAAUAAAUGGGAGAGAGUAUGCGUGUGUAUGUGUGCUUCUUCCAGGGACUGAGUGUGUCUGACUUUGUGAUUGUGUAUGCGCGACUGACAGAGAGAAAAAGAAAAGGGUCUACGAGUGUCUGUUACAGGGAUUAAAAGUGUACCUGUGAGUGUGAAAGUGUGCGUGUCCAGUUUUCCUGAGAGAGAAACAGAAAAUGUGUUAUUUUGUGUGGCGGACAGAAAGAAUGUGUGUGUGGCAGUGAGUGAGAAAGUGUAUGGCAGCGAAUUAAAGAGUGUGUGUAAGACAGAGUGCGUGAAACAGAAGUGUGUGUGUAUGUGUUGGAAACUGUGUGUGAGCGGAGCUCCGGUGAGCAGUGUGAUUGGUUGAGUGUACGAAAUCUUGUGUGACAACGAAAUAGGAAUGGAUGAGUCCCACUGCAGGGGAGGAGUCCAAGGUGAAGUAGGGAAAUAGAGUAAUACACAGUGAAAAUGGGGGACAGAGGUGAACAGGGGGAAAAUGCUUUUGUAUGGGUAGAUAGAUAUAUCUAUAUAAGAAAAUAUAAGGAUAAAAAAACCUAACUAUACAAGGUAAAGAUCUAUCUGUAAACGGAGCAGUGCAGUAGAUAUUACUAAUGGUCAUAAAUAAUUAAAUAAUUAACAGAGUAAAGUAACUGAUGUGACAUAGAAAUAUAAUAUAAUAUAA